rnacentral:lncRNA from 12 species
UUUCCAGAAAUGUGAGCUGACAUUCAUCCCUCAUGCUGGUCGCUUGCAGAGGAAUCUUGCAAUACGUGGCAGCUACAGAACAAGAAGAAUGAUACAAUUAAUAUCUCAGCAGGAAUGAGCUUGAAGGUGACUCAAAAAUAGUGUCCAGCACUGCUAUGCAACCCUUUUGAGUGUGGUUUGUCUCUGGGGGAUGAGAGGUCAUCACUGCUGUAAUGGCACCAGAAACUGCUUGCAAAGGUGUGGUUGUGGACACUGCAGUCUGUCUGUGGUGGGGGACUCAAUUUGUGGUAAUAAGGGUGUGAAAACAAAGGCACUGCAGGGAAUUAUGCCAUCUACAGUGAGAUGAUACUUGCUCCAAAAUGAUUCCCUGAGUUUUGUGGGAUAUUCCAGGAUAUUUGAAGCACCCAACAUCCCACUAUUCUGCACUGCCAAGAGUCUGUCUCACUUGGAAUUGCUUGGACUGCUCUGGAAACCUGUGCAUCUCCAGUCUCCUUGGGGCUGCCUGAAGAGGCAGAUCCCUGCCUUGCAUCCCCCCACCCAGUGCCAAUAAACCCUACUGCAACACUCUGGUUUUAUCCAGAUACCUCAACAAAAAAUGACUUAAAGCAGGAGGAAGUUAGGAGCAUUACAGAAUCUGCUGCAGACACUUCCCAGCUUCUAUUGUCUGUGUUCCAGCCCCCUGGGAACCAGGUAACAGGACUCCUGCAGGAGUCACCCAAAAUUAUGUGCUUCACUUCAGGUGUCUAUCUGCAAAAAUUAGGAUUAUUUCCUAGAAUGUGAAAGGG